CUAACUUUAGUUUAUAAGCUCUUGAGUGCAGGGACCUGUCUUUUGCUUUUUCUACUGCUGUAAAGUGCCAUGUACAUUGGUGGUGCUAAAAUAAUAGCAAGAAGCUCAUCAGCAGAAAGUUCACAAUUGCCAUCAAGAUCAAGGCCGUUUUUCCUCUAUGGAGACAGCAUGCCACUGAAGAGAAGAUUAUCAGAUGUGAUGAUUGCACUGAAUGUAUAUGUACACAUGCAGUUAUCACGUAUGACAAGAAAACUUCCUUGAACUUUUAAACAGCCUGAUGAAGAAAUUAUAGCCUUAUUUCUGAGGGGAAAAAAAUACAAGCCCUCCUCCAUACACAUUUAUAUGUAUUAUGCAGCCUACUUAAAUAAAGCUCUUUGGCAAUAUGA